AACGAACGCUGGCGGCAGGCUUAACACAUGCAAGUCGAACGCUCGUAGCAAUACGGGAGUGGCGGACGGGUGAGUAACGCGUGGGAACGUGCCCUGAGGUACGGAAUAACUGAGGGAAACUUCAGCUAAUACCGUAUGAGCCCCGAGAGGGGGAAAGAUUUAUCGCCUUGGGAGCGGCCCGCGUCGGAUUAGCUAGUUGGUGGGGUAACGGCCUACCAAGGCUUCGAUCCGUAGCUGGUCUGAGAGGACGAUCAGCCACACUGGGACUGAGACACGGCCCAGACUCCUACGGGAGGCAGCAGUGGGGAAUCUUGCGCAAUGGGGGCAACCCUGACGCAGCCAUGCCGCGUGAACGAUGAAGGCCUUAGGGUUGUAAAGUUCUUUUACCCGUGACGAUGAUGACGGUAACGGGGGAAUAAGCUCCGGCUAACUUCGUGCCAGCAGCCGCGGUAAAGUCUGUACU
rnacentral:rRNA from 1 species